AAAAAAGCACAAUAUGGAGGUAGUAUUUUAUAGUGAACUCAUUAUAAGAAAUGCGAUAAAUUAAGUGCGAAAAGACAAACACGACGCAUAGAUACAAUUAAGAGAUAUUCAAUUAUUUUAUUAUUAUUAAUGUCGUCUAGUGAUUACUGUAAAAAGGUAUUCACCUAUAUAUAUGUGCUAAAAAGGUAUUGGAGGAUUUACAAUGAUUGAUUUUGAUUACCAACAAAGGGUAAUAUACUCAAACGUGAUUUUAAUGAAUUGAACAAAUUAGAUGUUGUGUGCUCCCAAACAACAUCUUCUUUUUUUAAGGUUUGGACGAAAGUAGUUAGGUGGUUGGGUUUUUGUGGUGUUUUUAUCAAAUAAUAGCUUGAUAUAUGCAAAGAAAUUUCUCAGUUUGGUAUCAAGUGGUAGACAAAGGCAUGAAUGCAUCAAAUCCAUUUGAUUAUCUUGCAUUUGGUCUAGAGAUUCAUAAAUAAUUUGUUUUUUUAAGGCAUGAAAUUAAUGAAGGAACAAUCAUCGUUGUGGUAAUUAAACCUCUUAUCUUGGGCAUUGAUUAAAUCCAAAAAAAAUAACUUCUAUUUUAAUCUUUAUCAUUGGAACUUCCAACCCCUUUUUCAUUGGGUUAUAAUGUCGGUUAAGAUUUAUUGUAUUUUAAUUCGUGUGUAAACGACAUAAUUAGAUUGUCUCAUAGCAAAAUUCUAAAGUUUGGAUGUUGUUGUAAAAGAUCUUGACAAUCAGAUAUGAUACAACCAAACUCCACUUGGUUGGUCUUCCUAUCGACUAUGCUAUCAAUCACCAAGUUUACAAUCUAGUUCUAUAAACACCUUUGAUAAGCCUAAUCUACCAAGCCAAGAAAUAGCAUUACGUAGUCCUAUAUUGCUUCCACUUCUUGAGGAGGGGAGCUGCCUUCAUGCCAACAUGUUACUGCCAUUAAGAAAUGGCGCCUAGAGUUUCAAAUACACAUACUAAUACCAAAACACCUUUGCACCUCAAACAUUGCCACAUCUAAAUUGCAUUUCACGAAAUCCUCUUUUGGUGGUUGCUAAUUGCUUCUAUAUGUUGAUGUAAUAAUAAUAAUAACAAUAACAAUAACAAUAACAACAACAAUAAUAAUAAUAAUAAUAAUAAACAAUACUACUUCCAUCCCUAAUUAUAGGGUCAUUAUGAGAAAAACACGGAAAUUAAAAAAGUUGAUUGUUGAAUUAAUUUAUGAAAGAGAAUUAGUGGAUGUUUUCAUAGAGUAUUUAUUAAAUAUUGCAGAAAAAUAUGCAACAUAAAUAGGGAUACAAUGGUAAAGAAUUAAUUAAUGUACAUUGAAAUUUGAAAGGGGUCUAAUAAAAAUAGAUAAAAAAAAAACAUAUAUAGUCUUAUAAUUAGGGACGGAUGUAGUAUUUUAUAGUGAAAUCUUUAUCAAAAUGCGAUAAAAAUGGCCUAUGGAAAGAGGAAGAUUGCAUAUUUACCUUGUUAGAGUCAGAUGCACAAAAUCCACAUUUUGGUGAAGCCUUUAAACACGUUGUGCAGUCCCAUCCGCCACGAGAAGGAGUAAAAGCAGGACAGGUGUUGUUGAAACGAUAAGUUUCUAUUUCACUUAUCAUUGGAGAAUGAGUUUCGGUUUGUCGGAAAGUGACAGUAAGAAGCACAAGUGAUAAGACAACUCCAAACAAACUAAUCAAAGCUAGCUUCUUUCUCCCGGUUUUAUCAAUGAAAUAUAUGCUUAUAAGCGAACCAAACGUAUUCAACCCAGCAGUGAUAAGAGACAGAAGCAUUGCGGUUUGAUUAGAUGCAAAACCAGCUAGUUGAACAAUAGUUGGGCUGAAGUACAUUACGAUAUUGAUUCCUACAAAUUGUUGGAAUAUUUGAAGGCCCAUUCCUGCAUACAAACCUCUUCUCACACUUGUAGUUUUUAAAAGUGUCAUCAUACUUAUCUUUUCUGAAGAUUCAGCUUCCUUCAAUUCCAUUGCAACUGAUUCCUGUAAAGCCUGAAUUUCAGCAUCAACUUCUUCUGCUGGGUAAAUCUUUCUCAGAAUUGCUUUUCUGCAUGUAUGUAGUGGACAAAAAAAAUUGAGCAUAUUCUGCAUGAAAGCUAUAUAUGGAAAAAAAACUGAACUUUGUAAGUCGGUUCUCAUAUAAUCGACUUAAAAAGUCAUGCCUUAAGACGGUUGUUAAAUCCGACUUACAAAGCAAAAAUCUUCUUAUGACGGAGGCUAUUAGGUUGGAUAUGUACCUGACUUAAGACGUCCUUUUUAACCGACUUAAAAAUGAUGCCUUAAGACGGUUGCUAAACCCAACUUACAAAGCAAAAACUUCUUAUGACGAGAGCUAUUAGAUCGGACACGCGCUCGACUUAAAAGAUUUUUUUUGUACUAGUGUGAACAAAACCUGCAAAAAAAAAAAAAUCAUUUUCUUUAUUUUGUUUUUUGCAUGGAGUGAAUUGCAGAGAAUGAUUGAACUAAGCAUGCAAUUGUUCAAAUCAUGGAGUGAUUGUCCUAAAAAUUAUUUAUGAAAAAGAAUUAGUGAAUGUUUUCAUAAAGUAUUAUUAAAUAUUGCCGAAAAAUAUGCAACAUAAAUAGGGAUAUAAUGGUAAAGAAAUAAUUAAUGUAUAUUGAAAUUUGAAAGGUGUCUUACAAAAAUAGAUAAAAAAAAAAGCACAAUAUGGAGGUAGUAUUUUAUAGUGAACUCAUUAUAAGAAAUGCGAUAAAUUAAGUGCGAAAAGACAAACACGACGCAUAGAUACAAUUAAGAGAUAUUCAAUUAUUUUAUUAUUAUUAAUGUCGUCUAGUGAUUACUGUAAAAAGGUAUUCACCUAUAUAUAUGUGCUAAAAAGGUAUUGGAGGAUUUACAAUGAUUGAUUUUGAUUACCAACAAAGGGUAAUAUACUCAAACGUGAUUUUAAUGAAUUGAACAAAUUAGAUGUUGUGUGCUCCCAAACAACAUCUUCUUUUUUUAAGGUUUGGACGAAAGUAGUUAGGUGGUUGGGUUUUUGUGGUGUUUUUAUCAAAUAAUAGCUUGAUAUAUGCAAAGAAAUUUCUCAGUUUGGUAUCAAGUGGUAGACAAAGGCAUGAAUGCAUCAAAUCCAUUUGAUUAUCUUGCAUUUGGUCUAGAGAUUCAUAAAUAAUUUGUUUUUUUACGGCAUGAAAUUAAUGAAGGAACAAUCAUCGUUGUGGUAAUUAAACCUCUUAUCUUGGGCAUUGAUUAAAUCCAAAAAAAAUAACUUCUAUUUUAAUCUUUAUCAUUGGAACUUCCAACCCCUUUUUCAUUGGGUUAUAAUGUCGGUUAAGAUUUAUUGUAUUUUAAUUCGUGUGUAAACGACAUAAUUAGAUUGUCUCAUAGCAAAAUUCUAAAGUUUGGAUGUUGUUGUUAAAAGAGCUUGACAAUCAGAUAUGAUACAACCAAACUCCACUUGGUUGGUCUUCCUAUCGACUAUGCUAUCAAUCACCAAGUUUACAAUCUAGUUCUAUAAACACCUUUGAUAAGCCUAAUCUACCAAGCCAAGAAAUAGCAUUACGUAGUCCUAUAUUGCUUCCACUUCUUGAGGAGGGGAGCUGCCUUCAUGCCAACAUGUUACUGCCAUUAAGAAAUGGCGCCUAGAGUUUCAAAUACACAUACUAAUACCAAAACACCUUUGCACCUCAAACAUUGCCACAUCUAAAUUGCAUUUCACGAAAUCCUCUUUUGGUGGUUGCUAAUUGCUUCUAUAUGUUGAUGUAAUAAUAAUAAUAACAAUAACAAUAACAAUAACAAUAACAACAACAAUAAUAAUAAUAAUAAUAAUAAACAAUACUACUUCCAUCCCUAAUUAUAGGGUCAUUAUGAGAAAAACACGGAAAUUAAAAAAGUUGAUUGUUGAAUUAAUUUAUGAAAGAGAAUUAGUGGAUGUUUUCAUAGAGUAUUUAUUAAAUAUUGCAGAAAAAUAUGCAACAUAAAUAGGGAUACAAUGGUAAAGAAUUAAUUAAUGUACAUUGAAAUUUGAAAGGGGUCUAAUAAAAAUAGAUAAAAAAAAAACAUAUAUAGUCUUAUAAUUAGGGACGGAUGUAGUAUUUUAUAGUGAAAUCUUUAUCAAAAUGCGAUAAAUUGAGAGCACGAAAAGACAAACACGAUUCAUAGAUAUAAUUAAGAGAUAGUCAAUUAUUUUAUUAUUUAUUAAUGUAGUCUAAUGAUUACGGUAAAAAGGUCGUCUAUUGAUUACGGUAAAAAGGUAUUUGCCA
rnacentral:lncRNA from 1 species